rnacentral:lncRNA from 1 species
CCCUGAGUGACCCAUAAAGAUGAUAAAGAAGCAGAAUGAACACUGAAAUUAAGAUAAUUCCCCCCUUAUUUACAGUACAAAAAUUUUAUUUUUUUUUUGUUAGGAUAAUUUAAAGUUUAAAACGGAAGUAGACAUAUUCAUUUUACAAACAAGAUAUUCUUCCAUAAGUAGGACCAUUAAAAACAGUAAACAAAAAAACCAAAAAAAGCCAUCUUUACAAAAGCUCUGUGCAUAGCAACUUCAUACUGUAUAUAACUGACAAAGCAAAAAAAAAAAACAAAACAAAAACAAAACCAAAAAAACAACCAGCCAACCCCAAAACUAUACAGGAGGGAGAAAAUGAGGCCUUAAUUUACAGGAAAUGGUUUGGAGAAACCAUGCAUAUUGGAAGUGUGCAAAGAAAGAGGGAGAGGAAGAUGCUCUACCGAGAUAAAUUAGGAGAUCAAACCAACUUUCCCAAAGUCACGAUGAAAAUUGUCGUUACCUAUUGCAACACUUUUGUAUUCCCAGUGGCAAAGAGGAAAACUCUCAGGGAACUGGCAGCAGCAAGCACUCAAAGAGGACAGGUUUGCUUGUGACACUGAAAAAAUCCCCACACAUCAAUUCCGAAAUCAUCAUUCCCCUUUUUCUUGAGUGUUUUGCCACUGCCAAGGUCCCUUUUCAUGGCCAAGGAUUUGAUUGUGUUUAUUUACAGGUGUUUUUCUCUGUAACCUCAGUUAAUUCUACACUCAUCUCCAGUACCAUGAUUUCCCUGCAUGAGCAAAAUCCGUGUCCGAAAUAAUUUCUGGGUUUAAUUGGUUCUCAUGAUUUUGGCUCAAAGCAAACCAGAUUUUUCAUAUUUGCAUCAACACAGGCAGUUCCUCUUCUGCAAGUGUUUGGAGCAGCUUUUUAGAGAGGUUUCUCUUUUUCACUUGGACUUGUAGCAAUUGGGCAACUGGACAAAACUGAUAAAAACAACUGAAGGGUGAAAGGAAUGUUCAGUGCUCCAGAAACUUUCAUCUUUUUCUAUUUUUUAUUGCCAGACUGUCAUUUUCCCCCUGAAUCUUCCCAAGAUUUCAAUGAUGUGAUAGAUCCUUUUUUUUUUUUUUAAUGUGCCUGUGCUGAAUAAGCAAAAAUAAAACAGAAGGAUGGACAAAACCCAGCUUUUCCCAUUUUUUUUUUAACUGGAAACUUUCCUGACUGAGAUUUUGUAAUGAAAUCCCAUUUGUUACAAAAGAGGAUCUAAGGUAGCAAACUUCUGCUCUCCAGCAGAUGGUCUAGGAAUUCCUACUGAUCUGGAAUAUUCGCCAGACAGGAUGUUGAGUUUAUUUGAUGAUCAAUUUUAGGAAUAGCCCAUUCAGAGAAGGGCAGGGGGAAUACUCACCAUCUUCAUUCUUUGGAGCUGUUUAGGGUUUUCACUAGGUGGGAAUGGAGGAAGGGAUUUGAUAGAACGAGCCUGGUCCACCAAGACAAUUUUUGGAUUUAGGACUCAAUGUGUUUUCACUGAAAUUUGUGGAAGUUUUAAUCCCAGAUCUUCCAGUCCUUAAU